AGGGCGGGCUUGGCGCUGGCGAGGUGAGAGCUCCAAACUUGAAGCGGCGCCACGGCCAAGGUGUCCUCUGUCGCCAUUGCAGGAGCUGCGAGGGUGCGCGAAUCCGAAUGGUGGCUGAUUGGUGAACCUAGAGCACCCUUUGCCCCAGGUUCUAGCUCUGGCCCGGUUUUUUCUCUUUACAUUUAAGCUGUAGGCAGAGGAAAUCCUCGUUAGAGGCCUUCUCCCCACCCCGCUUCUCAGCCACAAACUGUUGUUUCAUUAGGAAUCUCACCAGAAACCCGUUUUCAGGUGAAGGCCGAGUACUCAGCCCCUUGUGGUGCCUGGUUUUACUUGAUCACAUUGUAAUUCCAUCCUAGGAACCACUCUAUAAGUUCACUUAACAGAGAGAAGUGGAGUGGUUCUUAGCAACCUUUUGCGAUGUAACUUAACCACCAAAGAGAUAUCUGGCUAAUAUGGCAGCUCUCGAGAAGUCCGUAUUUACACGUUGGAGCCCGGUACUCUUAUUCCCACGCUGCCUCCGGAAGGUAAAUCUGCUCAAAGGCGAUCUGCGUGCUGUAGCAGCUAAGAUUUGAAUCCAGACGUCAGGACUCAGUACCUUCCCUACAAAAAUCCCUUUGUGGUCCAGCCAAAGAACUAAAUGCAAGCGGGCGACCAUCUCGACCGCAGCCAGAAAGAGGGGGAAAGCGACACCAAGAAUCCAUUCCAAACGAAAAACCAAGAGGAGACGCGGCAGCUCCUAGAUGUUGAUGUUUUGUUUUUUUGACAUAAAUCUUCGCACUCAUAUGGGAGUUUUCAUUGAUUCGUGUUCCCAUCUGCUGAAUUUCCUUUUAUUUAUUUAAUAUUGCUUUUUGGGGAAAUCUUGCUUCGAAGCUCUGGAGAAGCAUAAACCGUGGCAACCACUGCAGCCCUCCUCCCUCUUGCAAGCCUUGGCUGCUGGGGGCAGGGAGAUGCGGUGGCGUCCUGCGGAGUGGGUGCUGGGCAUCCUCCAGGAGGGGCUGGCGCUGCAGGCCUGCGCUAAUGUGGCAAUUCUGUCUUCCGAGCCUUCCAGAGGCAGGGGGAGAGGUAGAGUGAGGAAGGGAGGAAGAGAGGGGCAGACUGGCUGACUGUUCUUCGUGCUUCCUGCUCAUCCCCAACACUUCAUACGUCCCUUUCGCACUAAUGUACACUUUGCUUUUGACACCAUGGAUAGUAGGAAACGUCUAACAGUGGGCAUCUAUAUUAAUAAGAUUGUACAUCUCACCGUCCAAUCAGUACCCUUCCACCUCAAUAGUGAUCCAUCAGUAAUUACAGACUCCAACUCUGGAAUCAGACUGAAUCUUGACGACUUUCCAGAGGGAAUUCUUGAAUAAAUUUACUUUUUAAGAGCUUGGGGGGGGGGGAACUUUUGGGAUAGCAUUGGAAAUGUAAUUGAAGAAAAUACGUAAUAAAAAAAAAAGAGCUUUGGGUUUCCUACAUA
rnacentral:lncRNA from 1 species